rnacentral:rRNA from 1 species
AACGAACGCUGGCGGCAGGCUUACACAUGCAAGUCGAGCGAGAAAAGUUCUUCGGAGCUUUUCUAGCGGCGGACGGGUGAGUAACACGUGGGCAACCUGCCUCAUAGAGGGGAAUAGCCUUCCGAAAGGAAGAUUAAUACCGCAUAACAUUGUUGAAAGGCAUCUUUUAACUAUCAGAGGAGCAAUCCGCUAUGAGAUGGGCCCGCGGCGCAUUAGCUAGUUGGUGAGGUAACGGCUCACCAAGGCGACGAUGCGUAGCCGACCUGAGAGGGUGAUCGGCCACAUUGGAACUGAGACACGGUCCAGACUCCUACGGGAGGCAGCAGUGAGGAAUAUUGCACAAUGGAGGAAACCCUGAUGCAGCAACGCCGCGUGAGUGAUGAAGGUCUUCGGAUUGUAAAGCUCUGUCUUUAGGGACGAUAAUGACGGUACCUAAGGAGGAAGCCACGGCUAACUACGUGCCAGCCGCCGCUGUAAUAC